rnacentral:rRNA from 1 species
UACGUAGGGUGCAAGCGUUGUCCGGAAUUAUUGGGCGUAAAGAGCUCGUAGGCGGUCUGUCGCGUCGAAUGUGAAAACCCGGGGCUCAACCCCGGGCCUGCAUUCGAUACGGGCAGACUAGAGGUAUGCAGGGGAGAACGGAAUUCCUGGUGUAGCGGUGAAAUGCGCAGAUAUCAGGAGGAACACCAAUGGCGAAGGCAGCUCGCUGGGACGGUACUGACGCUGAGGCGCGAAAGCGUGGGGAGCAAACAGG